AUGAGAGAUAGCUAAAAGAGGAGUUUCUUUCUUCUCUGUGUUUGGAAGAGUGGCUUGUAAUCUUUAGCCACUGAAUCUGGGCUUCACAAGGAACAGAACCCUUAGAAAAUUCAUCAAAAUUGAAGGAGCUUCGAAUGAGAUCUCUUGGAGACCAAACUGAGGACACUGUUAACCACAAGUAUUCUGGAGCUCA